GGCCCAGAAAACACAUCGGCCGCGCUCGCUCCCCUGUCCUCGCUCGAUUCCCCUUUCCUCCAGCCGCCGCUAGGGUUCCUGACCCGCCGCCCCUCCUCCCUCGACGAACGGCGGUGACCCUGCUGGAGCAGACGAGCGCCGCCUGACGCGCCCAUCCGGCCAGCCGAAGCAGUGCUCAGCGCCGCCUCCUCCGACCCCCAUCCCGCCAGCCCCUGAGGUCCUCCGCCCCGCCGGCUCCGACCGCCCUCCCUACCGUCCUCCGCUGGCCCCGAAGAGCCAUCCAGCGGGCUGCUGCUGUCCUCUGUCCGCUGCCUCGCCCCCAUUGCCAUUUACACGCGCCAAUGCUCUACCACCAGAAGAUGAUGGUACCAUGGCUGAAACACGCGAUGCUAUUGCUACCAGUCUUGUACCAUGAGAUUAGUCAGUCUAUUUGUAAUAAUAUUUAGCAACUUCUUUUGUAGCAAGGGAAACUUGGAAACCUUCUUUAUUGUAAUAUUUAGCAAGCUAAAAUAUUCAUAAAUCGUAUUCAUGCUCAUAUUCGACGAUAAUUUGUUCGAAA